AAGCGUGUGAGCCAUGUGCCGAGAAAAGCUGCUAUUGUGUAAUGCGUGCCCGUACCGUAAACCGACACAGGUGGAUGAGGAGAGAAUCCUAAGGCCGACGGAAGAAGCAUUGUUAAGGAAUUCGGCAAAAUGACCCCGUAACUUCGGGAGAAGGGGUGCCUGCGAGAGCAGGCCGCAGAGAAUAGGCUCAAGCAACUGUUUAGCAAAAACACAGGUCUAUGCGAAACCGAAAGGUGAAGUAUAUGGGCUGACGCCUGCCCGGUGCUGGAAGGUUAAGAGGAGAGGUUAGCUUCGGCGAAGCUUUGAAUUUAAGCCCCAGUAAACGGCGGCCGUAACUAUAACGGUCCUAAGGUAGCGAAAUUCCUUGUCGGGUAAGUUCCGACCCGCACGAAAGGCGUAAUGAUUUGAGCACUGUCUCGACAAUGCAUCCGGUGAAAUUGAAGUACCAGUGAAGAUGCUGGUUACCCGCGCCAGGACGGAAAGACCCCAUGGAGCUUUACUCCAGUUUGAUACUGGGAUUCGGUACUGCAUGUACAGGAUAGGUGGGAGACG
rnacentral:rRNA from 1 species